UACGUAGGGACCAAGCGUUGUUCGGAUUUACUGGGCGUAAAGGGCGCGUAGGCGGCGUGGUAAGUCACUUGUGAAAUCUCUGAGCUUAACUCAGAACGGCCAAGUGAUACUGCUGUGCUAGAGUGCGGAAGGGGCAAUCGGAAUUCUUGGUGUAGCGGUGAAAUGCGUAGAUAUCAAGAGGAACACCUGAGGUGAAGACGGGUUGCUGGGCUGACACUGACGCUGAGGCGCGAAAGCGUGGGGAGCGAACAGG
rnacentral:rRNA from 1 species